rfam:Naegleria gruberi genomic scaffold NAEGRscaffold_84, whole genome shotgun sequence.
AAGCGCAUAGCUCAGUCGGGAGAGCAGCAGACCCAUAAGCUGCAGGUCAGAGGUUCAAUUCCUCUUGUUGUUU